UAAUAAGCAUUUUGUGUGUGUGUGUGUGCGUGCGUGUGUGCAUGCGUGUGCACGUGCUUUGGGAAAAGUCUUUGCUGUUCUCAAAAAGUGUAUAGGCUAGAUCCACUUGUCACAGAAACUGAAAGAGUAAGUUUAAUUUUUUAACAGUUAUUGGAAAUCUUUCAAGGAGCACUCGUUAGGAGCUAAUUGAGGUAUAACCUAGGAGAAGCACUCAGAACCUCUUCAGAAAAGUGAAAUUUGCAAAUACUUGCUUGAAACUUGAAUGCAUUUGAAAAUGUGGAACCUGCUUUGACCUGUGCAUCUUUCCACAAAGCUUGUGCUCUUGGGUUCUGUGUUCUGGAAUCUCCCUACUUAAUACAUGUGUGGUGGUUGUGUGGUCCACGUCUAUUGUCUAAUGGGUCCUUUAAUAGAAGAGUCAGUGCGAGUGUUAAAACUGUGCAGAAGCCUCUGAAAUGUCUGAAAAACUUGUGUACAUCUGCUGGUAUCUGAAAAGCAAAGUGGUAAGUAUUCAAUAAGUAUACCUGGAAUUAAUUAAGGGGUAGAAAUCAAGAAGAGAGCUGCAAUUAUUACUAGAUGAGAUUGAUUUUAGAACAAAAAUAUUUCUGGGGAAUUGUGUUGUAUGCGAUGAGAGAUUCUAUGGUGGUUCCCUCGUGUCAGUAGGGUUUCAGGUUUAUGAGGGGCUGGGUAUGGACCACCCCACGGAAGGGCUGAGUGUUUCUUAUUAUUCUUACUCCCAUCUUCACGAUUCUUAGCCCUGCUUCAGUGAGCUUUCCUCUAGAACGUAAGAACUCUUUUUUUUUUUUUGUCUUUUUUGGGACGGGGUCUCGCUAUGCAGUUCUGGCUGGCCUUGAGCUCACUUUAUAGCCCAGGCUGAUCUCGAAUUUAUAGCAAUUGUCCUGCCUCAGCCUCCCAAGUGGUGGGAUUAUAGACGUGUGCUACUGUGCCCGGUUUGAAUUUACAGAACUGUUAGCACUGUGAAGUAUCCUGACCAGACAGGACCGUGAGGUGCAGAGCCUGAAUGUGUGGCAGCUACAAACCAGCCCUGGUUGAAGUCAGUGGGAAUACUGACCCUCCCUCCGGAAGGAGCCACGGAAGCUGUCAGCCAGUGGACAGCUUUUCGUUCUCAGCAAGGUGCAGGCUGUCUUCUGGUCGGCGGACAUGGUGGAGACACCUCCAGAGCUGCAUAUGACCCAUGAUUUCCUGGAAUCAGUCUAGUGCCUCGGAUGGCUGCGCUGAGAUACUGGAUGUGGAAGAGCUUAAAUGGGAGAAUGACAAGGGCCCCUCCCUUUUCUCUGGAGGAGUAUCUCUAUCCAGGGUGUGGAGUCCCCACCAGACCCUUCUACUCCUGGGAGCGGACCCCUGAACCCCAGCUGGUCCCCACCAGGAUGGUGGGGGAGAGGCGGGCAGGUGAUGCAGCAUUGAGAGGGGUCUCCUUGCAGCCCCCUCCAUCCUACCCACAGCUACAAAUCUUCAAUAUAUAAUUUGCUGUUAUCGCAGCAAUAAAUAAUUUUUGGCGACAGUUUUACUGUGAGACUUUGUGCAGUGUUUUUUUUAUUGACAAAACUGCUAUGAAUCAACA